CGGGGUGUAGCGCAGCCUGGUAGCGCACCUGCCUUGGGCGCAUGUGGUCGCAGGUUCAAAUCCUGUCACCCCGACCA
rnacentral:tRNA from 1 species